GGCGGCGAUGGUUGGGUGGAUGAGGGCUUCGUCUAGUGGGAAUCGACGGUUUGGUUCGAUUCUCUACCCCUUCCACGACGCAUUGAUUUUA
ensembl:ncRNA T20B12.12 ncRNA